rnacentral:lncRNA from 1 species
GCCCCCGGACAUGGCGCCCAGUGCCGGAGACGACGGAUCGGCGGGUUGACGGACGAGGCGCUGCACCCUCUCUCCCUCUGCUUUCUCUCAGAACUUACCAGGGAAGAACGAGGGCACGAGGGAAACUGGCGGCGCUGGGGAGGAAAGGAGAGGGAACCCUAGGGCGGAGGAGGAGGUCUCGGGCUCCUUUUAACGCCUCGGGAGGCGAGCUCGAGCCGCUGGAUCGAGAGGAGAGCGAUCGGGAGGUUGAGCGCGCGUCGUACAGGAGGUGACG